rnacentral:rRNA from 1 species
AUUGAACGCUGGCGGCAGGCCUAACACAUGCAAGUCGAGCGAGCGGCGGACGGGUGAGUAAUGUCUGGGAAACUGCCUGAUGGAGGGGGAUAACUACUGGAAACGGUAGCUAAUACCGCAUACCAUCAGAUGUGCCCAGAUGGGAUUAGCUAGGAGGUGGGGUAACGGCUCACCUAGGCGACGAUCCCUAGCUGGGCUGAGAGGAUGACAACCCACACUGUAAAUGAGAAACGGUCCAGACUCCUACGGGAGGCAGCAGUGGGGAAUAUUGCACAAUGGGCGAAAGCCUGAGGCAGCCAUGCCGCGGGUGUGAAGAAGGUCUUCGGAUUGUAAAGCACUUUAAGUUGGGAGGCGUUACCAACAGAAUAAGCACCGGCUAACUUCGUGCCAGCAGCCGCGGUAAUUC